rnacentral:lncRNA from 1 species
UUCUUUUAUUCUUAUACAUCCCGCCCAAACACUCAGCCCAACCUUGGUCGGCUAAACAUUCAUUUUUGAAAUCAAUAGACUUUUCCGGUCAGGAGUGGGGGGUUACAAAGUGGAACGAUCUACUCCGCGCUUUCUCCUGUACCAUCUUAUUGUUCUUCUUCAGGAAUCCGCUCUAAAGACCCGCUACCGAUGAGGGGCUGGUUCUCUUUUGUGACAGCAUGGGUUGGAUAGCUCACCGAUCAUGGGAGAGACUCCCUGGACAUUUGGCAUUGGUUCUGAUCAACGAGGAGGGAGAUUGAGAAAAGUUAUCUCUCAUCGGACCGACGUUAAACCCUUGGAAGAGAUUGCGGGACAAUCUCUGGGGGCUACGGAAGAAAAAUCUACUCACUUCUUCCUUGAAGAGUCAAAAAGCGAAAGAGGCUGUAGUUACUUAGCUGUACUUAGAGGGAAACCCCCCAGCUUCUUAGAGGCUUGGGACAACGGUUGAGGGCUCAGAGUACCUGAUAGCCCCGCUAGGCUGGGCAAGGGAAGGAGCACCGGGCCUACCUUUACUCGAGUUCUCCUGAGUAAUAGCGGGACGCUUCGACGGCUAAGAAGUACAAAAGGCAAGUAAGGACAGUAGUACUGAGCUACGGAUAUGCUUCUCGAAAGAAAAAGCACUUUCUCUAUCGCUUCAUGAGCUUCGCUUUAGGGAUGGGAUACUUCAUAAUGGAUGGAAAGUCUUCCACGCGGUCCUUUCUGUACCUCCGCUAGGGAAUUUCUUGUCUUUCUUAUUUCUAUUUCUUUGGGGGAUAGAGACUAAGAAAUGAACCCGCAUCUAUCGAUUUCAAGAGGAAAGGCUGAAGGCGAGAACCUGUACCCUUCCCCACCAUCUUCUGCUUCUUCCGGCCAAGCAAAGGAUUCAAGCUAUGAGGAACUCGCCAAUGACUUUGAUUUCCACCCUUGCCGGGGAAGAAAUGCUUCACUUUCGUUCCUUGGUCCCGAUCGGCCGUUACCAGUAGCAGUAGAUUACCUAACUACAGGACCCGAGUCAUCUUCUUCCCAUCCCAGUGGCUAGGCACCCGCCAAGAAAUGCCUUGUGCCUUUCCCAUCCAUUAGCAGUUGGAAGAGCGGAACUGGGACAUCUACGCCUGGAACCGCAAGUCAAGCCCUAAAGUAAGGUAAGUCCAUCUAUUUCCGACUAUCGAUCUCACUCCAGCCGAGUCCAAUCCGAAUCAAUCAAUUUCAUCUGGUGCUGGCUAAUCAUCUCAAUCUCUUGGGUCCGUGACAAGGACCGGUUUGGUACUUAAAUAAAGGAAUCAGCGACUUCCCAUCCCCUGCUUCUAAGCGUCUACCGGACGGGGAUUCCUAUGCCCCCAAGUCUUCAUCCUUUCCAGUUGGUGAAGCGGAGGAAAGAACGAGGUUUCCCGGUGGAAGGAACGAAAGUGAAGCAAGUGAUCCCCGGAACUCCUUCGAACCAAACUCUCAAUCUCUAGUGCUUGGCCAGCUCCACCAUCUACUCUAUCUCCCUCUCCCGAUUGACCUUCCCGGGGCGGAGACGGGGAACCAAACGAAGCGAGUGAUUCAACAAAGGAACUUCCCACUCGCUCCGUCACCCUCCCCUUCUCAUUCUCCAUCAAACUAUCCUGCCAAUUUAGCCAAAUCCAUCUCGUGCCUCUAAUGGCCAUGGAAGCCCAUGGGCUGCACCUAAACUCUCAGAUCCAAGUCAUGCUGGCCCAGCCAAGCGCUAGCAAGCGGUAGGGGGGCCAUGGGAGCAAGUAAACCAAUGGAGGCCCCAUUUUCCUCUCUUUCCGAGCCCACCGGUGGCGAAGAAGCGUGAACAGGCCCAUUAGGGGGGAGGUAGGAAGCAUCGGACUAAAGGUCUCCUUUAAGUCGAUCCUCUCCCUCAACAUCUGGACUCGAGUCGAGCCGGAACCAUAAAGAGAUUCUUUUGCACCUGUCCCACCGGCAUCUUCCUCUCCGUAUCCAAAUGCUUCUUAUACUGGCCGGCUAAGCUAACGAGAAGCCUCAAUCAGGGUUCCGAAACGAGAAAAUUCAUCCUCUGCUCGCCUCCCAGCCAAUACUGGAUACAAUGAGUUAUUGCAAUGCUGGGCCAUCAAUAAAGGAAUUUGAGGAAGGUGGAGCAAGUCGAUACCAUUCUCAAUCUUCCGAAGUAGCAGCAAGCGAACCUGGGGAAUGCAUGCACUCCAAGUCCUCAUCUCUUCUUUCUGCAUCCGGUCGGAUGGAAGGAAGGGGAGCUCCAUUGGCCAAGUAUUAUUCUACACUGGCUGACCCCAGCUCACUAAUAAUAAGUAAGAGUAAGGAAUGCCCGGACCCACGGGAUCUAAUGCUGGACCAAGACGAUUAACGGAAGCUUAAUGAAAGGAAGAGGGAGAAGUGGUCCCGGGACCGGAUAGAGGCGAAUAAGAAUCCAAUUCCUUGCCACCAAAGGCACUCACCUCCCUAGAAAGUUCCCCCAUCUUUCUUGGUAAGCCCUGAACUUCGAAACUGAGCUUCGGAAAGAGGGGAGAGCGAACGAGCGGAAUGUGUAAUACUUGGAACGAGUCAAUAAAUAGAACGAGUAGAGCUAGAGUUACUUAAGUGCGAAAGGGAAUGAGUCGUAGCUGCACUUGAAGCAAGGAAGGGAAUGAAGAUGGCAUAGAAUGCCCUGUUUUCAGGAAUAGAAUGCGCUGUGGCACUUUCGGAAUAGUAGAGUACUUAAGAGUGAUUGACUGAUCAUAGCACUACUUCUCAGAGAUAGCGUUAACGGAUCAAUUUGAUUUCAUAGUGCUACGGUUCGUUCGCAUGAAGAAAGGAAGGUGCGUCUGGUCGGUUUCCCUUAACAAGGGGGGCAGCACUCACAGGUUAUGAGCCUUGCGAGCUGACCUAACUGCUCUACUCCGCGCAUCUUUUCCUAGUCUUUUUCAAUCUAUCAUGAAAGCUCUUUCUCCUUUUUCUGGUGGAAACCGUACUCCACGAAUGUGGUUUAUACGCGAAAGCUGGCGCUUGGAUCUUUACAUGAUAAGCGAACCUUCGCAUCUUUUGUUCCAACUUCUUCCUUUGCAGCAAUCACUAGAUCUUCCUUCUCAGAUGCGUGGGUCAGCAAGCCCAAGCCUUUGUUGUAGUUUCAGUCAAAAUCUGACUAUUAAAAUAAGGAAUUUGUGAUCCUGACUCGCGCAGCAUCCCGAUCGCGGUGAAGUCACUCAUGAAAUUCCCCAAAAGACGAGAUUAAAGUGUGAUUCUAGCGCAUUCACAAAAGCUUUUUUCAGGGAGCAAAGCAAUUCCUUCGGUGGUAAACAAUUCCUUUUCAGGAUUGGCAGUUCUUGGUUCAUAGAUCCAGGGGAAGCCCUCUAAAUCGAUUAAUCCCGAGUAUUGAUUGUGGGACAUGGAAUACUUCUUUUGUCUGGGCAUAUUCCUGUUCAUAAAGUCUUUGUUUCGACCCCGGGUUCACUUUACGCAAGUUUUCCUGCUUAGACAUCGACCAUACAGCAUUUGACUUACCUCGUGGAAGUUGAUUAAUCUCUUUCUAUCCCGAUAUCAUGAUAUUUAGAUCACCUUGAGAAGGAAAAUCCUAAAGUUGGUGAGAGAACGAAAACAAGGUCUUUCUCGACGACUUGGGAUGAAUCGAUGGACUCCGGGAAGCUUCGUUCCUACAUUCUGCUCUCAAAGGCAUUCCAUUUUGUGUAUUUUAUACAGUUGGCUGGGAAAACAACAAGAAGGGGCUAAGAUCCUCGUUGACAACAUGAAUUCGUACGCAAGAUACCGAAUUGGAUCCCUAAUUCAUAGAUGGGAAUUGAUGAAUCAAAGAAGCAGUAGGAAUGGGUCAAUGACACUCCCUCCCGAUGCUUUGCCAGAAGCUCGUUUUCCAACAGAAAGAUGAAACUCCAUCCCCGGACCCGAAAGGGGGCGUCUCGAUCUAAACCACCUUUGUCUACCAAGAAUCGAUACAUCGAGAAGGUAGCAUGUCGAACUAUAAUGCCCUAAUUGAGGAAGGGUGCUAAUCCUACCUUGAUUGUUCUUCGCAGACCGGCCAUGUGAUCUCCUUUCCCAGGUCUUAUUGCCGAACUGGUUCUCCCAUCUGAUAUUGUAAUUACAGGUAGAGCCUCAAAAUAGGCAAUUAAUUGACCCGUUGACGGACAACUUUAUCCUUCGCCGGUUGUUUCGAAAGCUAAGCUAAUUCGCUUCUAGUUCUGUAGCUAGAGCUGGGAAAAUCCCUCGGCGAGGCAUAGAAAAUAAGGGGAAUCUUCCUCAUCUUUGAAGUGGGAAUGCUCAAAUAGAGAGUCCAAAUCAUAAUAUGUGAAAGCUUCCCCGCUCGAUGCUUUGUUGCGGUAAGAAGGAAGGGAUUACUUGCUAGGAUCAAAGGCUGUCUUUGAAGGAAGCAUGCCCGCCGUACCUCUACUCAGUAAUGCAAUUGAAGCUAAGUCCACGGGCGUAAGAUAAGUCUACCACUGCAGGGUUUGAUCUGUCUAAAGGUGAGAAUCCCAAUGCCGCAUAUCGAUUAACUGCAGGUUAGGAAUCUGACUUUGAUCUCCCACUUUCAGUAAGGGAUGAGCGUACGACAAGCCUUGCAGCUAACUAAUGAACUCGACUCUCGCUUCCUAUAGUACUGCCCUCGGGCUCGGAAGUUAGCUACUUAUUAUGGAAUGACAUAUAUAAUUAUGUUGGUAGCUAUCUGCCGAAGAUGUAAGCUUUUUCUUAUUAGAUAGCUUGCAUGUGUAGAGGAUGUAGUGUGGAUAGUUUGGCUGACUACCCUGCCUGCUCUGUGGUCUCGGAGAUAGCCAUGCUAGCGAUUACAAUGGCCUCUGUAUCAGCCUUACCAGCUGCUAUGGAGGAAGUCACUGAUAGCUCUGAUUCUUUCGGAUUGGCUAACUGACUGGAUUGGAACUAUGCUUUGAUCGGGAGGCACCCUCAGCUCCUGGAUACAUAGGCCUUCUGCAUCCUUAUCGCCCUGGGAUAGUGAAGAAAAAAAACCUGACUUUUGUCCAAUGGGUCGGAUUCAGUCUAGCUGCUGGAUGACAUGAAGGAUGUCGCACUUAUCUGUUAGGAGUCGGAUAAGUUAAGUAGGUACGCGAAGAUACCGAAACGAAUUAGCCACUCCUUUUCUCAAUGGCCACCGAAAGGAUAUGCAGGAACAUAGGCUUACAAGAGAAUCUUCGUCCCCCUUCCGUUCCUCCUUCUAGUCUACCUACGUCAUUAUUUCUUUUGAAGCAGGAAAGAUUCUUGUUCCCGAAAGGUAAUGAAGUAAGCCUCGGGUGAGGUGCACUAAUAAGUGGCGGAUUCUAUUCUCUUGUCGGCUUUCUUUGAUGAAAGAAUGAAACUAGUGGCAUUACCGGCAUCUGAGAACUUAGCCCUUAUUUGAACCCAGGACUGAAAAGGCUAGCUUUGAAUCACCUUACCUAGUCAAAUCGCAGCUGAAAGAAACUCCUUCUCGGAAAAGGCGCUAAUUUAAGUAGAGGAGAGCGUGCGGGUGUGGAAGGAGAGGUCGAUCGCUUUCUUUACCUGACUUCUCUGUCGGAGUGGCCAGAACCUACUCAAUCUCCUGGUUCAUCUUCUUCGGCAUUUCUUUCAUAUCACGACUUUCCCGACUCACCGGAAUCUCAUCGAACCUAAAGCUACAAAAAACAGCGCACCAAAGCGGAUUGCCGAUCUUCUUGGCGAUACAACUUAGGCUCUUCCUUCCCCAAAGGCAAAUCCCUCAACUUAACCCUAAAAGGAAAAGGGAUUCAUUGUAUAUCAUCCUUCCCAUCCAGACAAAGUUUUCCUCUUCCAUUCUUUCAGAACUAACAACCUCCCAUUCAAAAACAUGGUCCUCCCUCCAUUAUUCUCUGACGGUCUUACAAGAGAAUGAAGUUGAACACAAAGAACCCAUUAUCCAGCGAGAACAAUUGGACCUCCCCUUUACAUCUCAAAGCGAAGGCAAAAAAUUUCUUCAAGAAGCUAUACGCCGGCCUCUUACCGACGCAAUAAUCGACUAACACUUGUUGAGAGUUAGUAUUGAUUCAUCCAAAGUAGCUCCUCCGACGGCUGGAGUAAGGAAUUGUCCAUCUCACCGCCCUGAAGAGCAGUGGCUCUGUUGUUUUGCACGCCGACAGAGAGAGACUCCAAACGACGCUCAAUCGAAAGAAAGAGCAAUCCACUAUAUGCUUCACUCAUGCCCCAGGAAUCCCUAGAAACAGGGGUUACGGGCUAAUCUAAUAAGUAGUAGUCCCUCAGAAGGAAAGGCUAUAAGUAGUAUUGCUUGCUAUACGAGCUGUUUUCCUUUAUACGGCUUGCUUGGCCUAUAGAGUUUGUCUUUCCUUCAUUCGAAACUAGAGAAAGAAGCGUGAAGGCCUUCUAUGAACAUGAACUGAUUGCUUCUACUACUCUAGUAUUUAGUCUUAGAAUUUACUAAGACCUAGAAGAACUUUCGAUAAAUGGCCUUUUUUUCAUAUGUGUGUAAGUAUGCAUGACCGCUCUUGUAUAAAAAGGCGGGUAAGGGCUGGCGCAUAGGAGCGGGCUGGCUGUUCAUGAGGGGGAGGCACCAUCACUUUGUCUCGAAGGCAGGUUAAGUUAAGUGUCAAGUCAGGGUAGUGCAUUAAGGAGCUGCAACUAUCGCAUCAGCUAGAGCGGCAUUAGGCAUUGGAAAGGUGCUUAAUUUCAUUCCAAGAGCGAUUUCCCGCUUUCAGAGCGGGAGAGGGAAAGCAAGAUGAUCGACCGGCUACAGGAGUUGCAGAGUCUCUCUAACUUUCUGUGAUCACUAUACGGUGAUUGUUUUAUGGGGAUUUUGAGGGUUUACAACUCCUUAGAACUCUCUUCAAGUGGAAGGCAGGGGAGAUCAAAUGGAAUAGAGAACUCUUCAUACUAUUCCAUUAUGCGCUUCCCCCUUCAAGAGCUAAGCUACUAGACUAAAUUAGUUUAUAGCGUCUGUCUCGUAUGGGACAUAUCUAGUCUUUCCCAGAAUAGAUUACUUCAUUCUGACUUUUUCAUAGCAGGCAAUCAGUGCGAAAGGGCUCUCUCAUCUGCUAUUUGUACCAGAAGACGAAAGCAAGGAAUUCUAGACUUCCGAGACGAUAGGAGCGAGGCUGAGCGUUAUAAGGCGGCUAAGGCAAUCAGUUCAUCUCUUUCUGAAAUCGAUCUCCCUUCGUCUGGCUUAGCUCAUGGAAUAGUAGCUCUUCCGCUAUAGUAGCUGUGAAAAGCCCUGUUUUGCCCGCUAACCUCUUGCUUAGUAAGACCCUCUUUCUGAGCCUUCCCCUCCUCCUUUUGAGUCAUCUUGGAUGAGAAGACAGAGACCGACUUCAUCGACUUUCAAUGUCCGUGUGGAAUGCAAGUUGCUCGCUGAAGUGGAGGCGCUUUCCGCUGGGGCGGACCAUUCUUGUGAGAACGAGGGCUGAUCCAAUCCGGGGUCUCUCUUGAACCAGCCAACUCUAUAGGGAAGACGACUAGCUAGAUGGUCUUUGAGUCAGAAUUUGAACUUGUUGACGCCUCUGGGAAAAAGUCCCACCAUAAUAUACAUCCAAUAUAGAGUGCUGGUCAAUUUUUCUGCAGAGCUUCUACUAUGGGCUGCUCCUGCCCAGAGACCACCAGAUUCUCCUCUCCUGUUCUAUCCUAAUUCUCCUUUUCGCCUUUAUUAGUAUUAAGUAUUAGUGGCCCCCCCGUGCUUUCCCUCUGAAUAUUUGGUAUUCCCCUUUCGGGUGAUUUAAGCAUUUCGUAUUUGGGUUUCACUGGGCUACUUUCAAGGGUUCCUAUUUUCGUUUUUAGCAAUUUUUCCCCUUUUGCUUCUCUUGCGUGACUUAACUGACUUUUUAUUACCUCAGUAAAUUCCAUUUUCUUUUCCUCCCCAAAAGAGCUAAGAAGCUAUAGGAAUUCUUUCCUUAUUUCGCUAAUCGGUUGUUAGCUGCUACUAUCCGCUGGAAUGAAUCCUCCUAUCUGUAUGUCCUACUCCGGAUAUAUAAAGUAUCGUAUAAAAAGUAUAGUAUAGCUUCUUUCUUUCGCAUAUCCGCUUUCAAGCUUCAGUUAUAAAGUAAUGAAUAGGUUCUUUGCUUUAGUCGCAAAUGAGUUGUGGCGCUGUGAGAAGUGAUCGUGGUAGCUAGCUCGUGUGGUGGGAAUAUCAAUCGAACCUAAACGUUCUUCCGUUGGCCGUUGGUCGGCUCUCUCCCAUAGGCCUUGCUUUGGCCCUUCCCCCGGCUCUACGCUCCUCUGGGUUAUGGGUUGGCUCCCGCUUGAUGCCCAAAAACACGAGAAACGAUAAAUGCUACAUCCCCGCUUCCUCCUUGCCUUUCAGGCGUAACGUAAGGAAGAACCCACAGUAGCUCUAACGAAGCUAGAAACAGAGACACCGUUUCCACAGCGAGAGAUGCGAAGAACGACUGGUUGGAUAGCUUUUGCUAAUAUUGGUUUACGAAUAAUGGUUUACGAAGCAAGUGCAGCUGUGUUAAACGAAUUCCCGGCAUUUCGCGGAGAUUGGCUUGGGCCAUUGGAUUGACCCGGUACCAGCCAGUGUAGGGGAAUACCUCCUGUGUCUCUUCCAUGAACCCCACGAACCUAACCAUCAGAGAGGUUUGGAGAUGCUCUACCGGGAAGAAGGGCUAUGGAAUCCUCGCUUUACCGAGUUUACGAAGUUAAGGAGCCUUCCCCUCGUACUUGCAUUCUUUCUUUCGAUCUUUCUAACUGAUUACCUUUCAUCCGAGAAACGAUGGCUUCUCGCUUGACUUGACUCACCUUCGUACUUCUUUUUGUUAGGCUUACCCCGUUAGGGUUAACUCCUCUCACAACGUUCGACUUGCCAUACAUAUUAGUUAGUGCCAGCGCAGAAAAAUAUGAUAUGCCGGACAUCUCAAUUGGACAUGUUUCCUUCUUCUCGGGUUUGUUGGCUUAAAUGCCGGUCAAAGACCUCACUAUCCACAAAAAGAAAAGGAUAGUUGAUAGCUACGAUAUCCGAAUACAAUCAAUUCCCUUGGUUACGAUUACCUACACAACUCUCGCUUUACAACUGCUACACUGGCUGUGUCUUGCCCUGGCCGGCUAUGACUUGCUACUUGACUCUCCUAUCGCUUUACCUUUUGGUUAACUAACCUUGGUACUUCUUACCUCUGGGCGCUAUUAGGCUUAUACGAUUUCCUGCAAUUGACGAAGAAAACCCCGGGAAAAUGGGCAUAUCGAGCUACUUCGUUCCUCUAUAAAUAGUCUUGCUACUUCCCUUGCGUUGGGCGAGCUGCACUACGCUACGUCCUUCCUUUUGCUUUUACCUUACCCUAUCGGUCUUGCUAUCCAAAGCCAUCCCCUCUCUGACUUUAUCGAUUCUGUGGUCUACCCGCUCACAGGCCGGGCUGGCCAACAACCAUUCUUUCGUCUCCUACUCUAAACCGUAUCCCCUCGCAUUCCUGGAAGAAGGUAUUACACCAGGCCAAUCCUCGCUCCCCAAGCUGGGAACAAGAGACAAGAAAUUAGGGUCCAAUCAGUCAAGACGAGCAGAUAGAGCAAGUGAGACUGAGAACACGGACGUGGACCAAUCACAUGGAUUCUUUUGAGCCCUACCGUUUGACAACUCUCUCUCAUUAUGUAAUGGAAUCUCUUCUGAGAGGUGAUCCCUUCGAAAAAGGGAGCUCAAAAGUCAAUGAGAAUCUCGAUGGAGCUUGACCGGUCAGACAAAAACACAAGCUUUCUCCACUUUGGAGCCGUGAAAAAGCCCCCAGUUUGAGACCUUGAGUAGGGCAAUUCAGCCAGAGAAAGAAGGGAUUGACUGAAUGAGUCAAAGGUUUUACAGACCUCGCCCAAAAGGAGAGGUCUGUAAAACCCAAUUACACUGGGCCACAGGACAGGGGUUGCCCAUGAUCUUUUCAGCGAUGUCAUAGGCCGACUUGGAGGUAAAGUCACCACUAGCAGAGUGAGCCCAAGCCCACGAGUCCUGACCCUGAGCAAACCUUUGGGCAGGGGCAGCCUUGAUUAACCCAAUAAGGUGGUCAGGUAACGAAAAGGACAGCUUGUGUAAGGCCCACGGCCCAUUGGUCUCACGGAGAUUGGACACAGAAAGGGAAAACUCUUCCUGGGUAAGAGGUCCAGCAAUGAGGUUUCUAAGCGGACCAGGGUCUUAAUUCAAGGUUUCGAAGGGUCCUUGGACACUCUCAUGAAUUUAAUAAUGAGAGGAAAAGAAGUCUUAAAUUACCCUCUGUCCAUGAAAAGCCUUACCGUAAGGACGAAGGUAAUGCAACGUUUGGCUUGGGAAGAGAAGAGCUCAAAAGGCUCAAGCUAGUGAAGUUGCAUGGCUGUGGCAUAGAAGAUUGGGUCGUUGCAACUUGCAUAGUCUCAAACUUCUUUCUCAAAGGCAAAUGGUAAAAGAUCUGCCUGCCAUUGGAGAAUGCAGUGGAGUGUGUGAAGGGUGUCAACUUUUCAAGAUGGCUAGACAAUCCUUCCCAUCUGGCACAGCCAGGAGAGCUUCACAUAAGCUGGAACUGGUGCAUACUGACGUCUGUGGUCCCAUGAGGACUCCCUCUCUUGACAACAGCAAGUACUUCAUCCUAUUUAUUGAUGACUUCUCAAGAAUGACUUGGGUGUACUUCUUGAAAGAAAGAUCUGAAGUUUUCAGUGUGUUCAAAAAAUGAAAGAAUGCAGCUGAGAAGCAAAGUGGCUGUCAACUCAAAGCCUUAAGGAGUGACAGAGGCAAGGAGUAUACUUCCAAGGAGUUUAGUUUUGUGAUGAUGAAGGUGUACAUCACCAGCUUACUGUUGGCUAUGCCCCUGAGCAAAAUGGGGUGGCUGAAAGAAAAAACAGAUCUGUUAUGGAAAUGGCUAGAGCUAUGUUGCAUGAAAAAGGCCUUCCUAACAAGUUCUGGGCAGAAGCUGUCUAUACGGCAGUGUAUCUGCAGAACAGAAUUGCCACUAAAGCAGGCACAGGCAAAACUCUCUUUUUGGCUUUUCACUGAAACUAAGACGCUUAAACAUAAGGUAGGUGCUUUCACUCCGCUUUUUAGUUCGACAUUCCCUUUCGCUUCCGGAAAAGCGCAGUAGUCAAAGUAGUUCAAGUCAGUGCUUUCCUUCCGGGCGAAGGGAGAAGGCACCACCUACUACAACUCAAGCUAUAGAGAGAUCAAAUCACUCUUUCUCUUCCGGGUACAGGCUUAGAUAAAAAUCCUUCUUGUGUGGGUUUCCUUGACCAGGUUGGGUAUAUCUCGCCUCCUUCCCGCUUUUCAUCGGAGGAUUACUAUUACUAUAUAAUAGUAGGAGGUGGCACUGCCGGUUGUCCCUUGGCCGCCGCCUUGUCACAGUCCUAUCGAGUUCUUGUGCUUUUUCGAGAUGGCGUUCCCUAUGGCAAUCCCAAUUUGAUAACCCAAGAAGGAUUCUUGGCCACACUCACUAAGGUUGAUACAUUUGACUCCCCUGCCCAAGCCUUCACAUCCGAGGAUGGGGUCCCCAACGCCAGAGGACGCAUUCUUGGUGGCAGCAGUGCCAUAAAUGCCGGCUUUUACAGCAAAGCAGACCGGGAAUUCUAUCAGAAAUCGGGUGUCAAUUGGGGCCUGAGAGUUGUGAACGAGUCGUACGAGUGGGUUGAGAAGGCAGUUGUGUUUAGGCCGGAGCUUAGGAACUGGCAAUCAUCGGUUAGAGAUGGGUUGUUGGAGGCUGGGGUUAAUCCGUAUAACGGGUUUAGUUUGGAACAUUUGGUAGGCACUAAGAUUGGUGGCUCGACUUUUGAUGGUUCGGGGAGGAAGUGCAGCCGAUCUGCUCAAUUAUGCAAAUCCUGUGAAUAUUCAAGUUGCUGUGUAUGCAAGUGUGGAAAGAGUACUAUUGGCAUCUACUUCGAAGCCUUCGAGGUCUAGGCUAUCCGAAAUCGGGGUGGUUUACCGGGAUCAGAUAGGAGGGUAUCACCACGCAAUGGUAGUGGAAAAUGUCGAGGUCUUGCUAUCUGCUGGUGCCAUUGGAAGUCCACAGUUACUACUGUUGAGUGGCAUUGGUCCUAGGCCUUAUCUAUCAUCUUGGGGGAUUCCGGUGGCAUAUCAUCUUCCAUAUGUGGGGCAGUACCUCUAUGACAAUCCUCGGAACGGUAUCUCGAUUGUACCGCCAAUGCCACUGGAGCACUCAUUGAUAUAGGUGGUUGGCAUAACUGGGGUGGGGGCUUAUGUUGAAGCUGCUUCCAAUGUUAUCCCUUUCGCAUCCCCUCCUCGUUCUGUUUUUGUUUUCAUUAGGACACCAUCUUCACCUCUGUAUCUCACAGUUUCCACCCUUAUGGAGAGAAUUUCUGGGCGGCUCUCAACUGGCUCACUGAGGUUGGCUUCGACAGAUGUCAAAGUGAAUCCGAUUGUUCGAAAAAAUGACUUUUCCAACCCCGUGGAUGUAGAAAAGUGUGUGAAUGGCACACACAAGAUUGGGGAUGUGCUGAAGAGCCGUUCCAUGGAGGACUUCAUGUUCCGUGAAUGGUUUAGAGCUCGAAAUUUCAGGUUCGUCGGGCCUACAUUGCCUGUUGACUAGUCUGACUAUGUGCAGAUGGCUGAUUUUGUCGCCGAACCGUUAGCACCAUAUGGCGUUACCAUGGGAGCUGUGUUGUAGGGAAAGUGGUUGAUCGUGAUUACCGUGUUAUUGGUAUUGGUUCACUUCGAGUUGUCGAUGGCUCAACAUUUACCGUAUCGCCAGGAACCUAUCCUCAGGCUGCUCUUUUCUUUUGAAGCUUGGACGUUAAAUGUUUGUUGUUAUCUGAAUGCUAUAGUUUGCAGGAAAUACGAAUUCGGCUGUUUUAAGAAAACGAACUUUCUGACUUUCUGAUUCUGUUCCAGCUCUUUUUCAGGUCCGGGCAUUAGCCAGUCAGUCUUGUACAGGUCCUAUAGUGAAGUGAGGUACUCGCUCUUAUUCUAGGAUAGUAUUAGGAAUGAAUGGAAAGCGCCACCCGUUCACUUAACUAUCUUACUUGAAUGAAGAAAGACAGAACUCUUCUUUAUAUACCUAAUUGUUAGUUAUAGUUACCAGGCUUGCCACCUUGUUCUCAUUAUAGAAGCCACUUAUUCUACGAUGCAACACAGUGGAAUUAGGCUUUUUCCAGAGGAAACUCCUAGUAGGGUAGGUUACUUCACUUCCUUUCUCUCGGCUAAAUAGAGUAAGAUCCAAAGAAUGCCUGAGCUGACUUAAUUUCAUGCCAAACCCAACAAGAAGAGGUGAGUACGCGAUUGCUGUUCAAAGAAGACAGGCAGUCUGAUACAAUAUUGCUUUGGUAUCUUUCGCCUCUAUUUUGUUUCUUUUUUGGGGAUUUGACAUAGGGGACCAGAAAAAUCUUUCUUUGAAUUUUUCAUCAUUCUAUGUAUUCAUGGAAUAAGUGAUGAUCCAAUGGUUCUUACUCAGAGAAUCUUUUAUUUAGCUUAGGGUUUUUUAUUGAAUUAUCGUGAUUCUAGUAUGAAUCUGAGGUUUUAAUCGAUUCAAUUGGUCUUAACAAGAGAAUUCCUAUCAAUAAUAAAGAAAAGAAAUAAUAAAAACUACAUUACAAAAAACAAAAUUCCAGAAAGAAAUAGGGAUCGAAAGGAUUCAAGAGGCCUGUAGAGAAGAAACAUUUAUCCAAAAGAUGUAUUACUUACUACUACAUAAACAACCACAUAUGCCUUUACUAGAGGCUUUAAAAGCAUUAUGCUAACUACAUUAUUUAUUUUGAAACUGGAAUAAGUCAAAGGAUAGGCCUGAACAAGUAGACAGAAGAGAAAGUAAAAACGACUUUUUUUGAAUUUCUUCUAGUCUUCCCGGUCACCGAGGGUGACAGCCUGCACAAUGAGUGCUUGCUGCUCCUCCCGCAGCACUUGCAGCCUCCUCUCCAAAUCCCUUAUGUUCUCUCUGGAAGCGCGAAUGCGUUCUUCUGCCGCUGCAGAGUCUCGGGCUCGAAGAUUCCUCAAAAACAGGUUGAGAGUUCUACGGCGCUCUUGAAUUUCAUUUCUCAGUUGCCCCAUUUCUGCAUCAAUUUCAGCAAGCCUGUUUGCAGCAUCCAUAGCCAUACGUGCUAUUACUAAAUUUCUUUGAUUUGAAUUUGAUGAAGCCACUUAUCGAGCCUCCAUUUAUAGAGUGGUAGAGUAAUCUCGCCAUGCGUCACCGAAUUUGAUGGCAGGCACAAUUCUUACUAGUUCUCCGCACUACUUUUCUGCAGUUGAAUACUAUCAUGCCUAUUUAAUGAAAAACUGGCUGGCUCUGGCUUCCUUGCGGAGCAAACAAAAUAUCCCCGAAUCACAUUGCCUGUCUGAACUAACAAACUUUGUACAACCAGCUUACGUAGAAAAUAUUCUAUGCCAAUAGACUCGUGACAUCCAUGUACUGAGUCGUCAAAUGAGCCACGUUAAGAAAGCCCAAGCUUAUACGCAUUGGCCCACAGGGUGUCCCAAGAGAAGAGGGCCCGAAUGAAAAACCCAAGCCUACAUGGACCAUCAAAGAAAGUCCUACAAAUAAAGACUUGGGCCUGUCAAGCCUGCUUUCCUCGUCUCGAUGAAAGCCCACAGAAGGGCCGAAGCACAACAAGCCUACCCAUAAUCAAAGCAAGCCCAAGCCCAUGCAAGAAGGAUCUCAUUGUCAUGGAAGCCCUUUCCUUACUCCUCAAUAUAGUCUAUGAGGACGUCUUUCUGACCAACUCUCAUGGCUUUAGGAAGGGGGGAGGACCCAUUACCUUCUUCGCGCAUGUUGAUAGUUGGGGGACAGUAGAUCGAUUUAUCAAAGCAGACAUUGUUGGUUGUUUUGAUAACAUUGAUCACACUCUUCUAAAUAGAAGAAUUGGUUUAGAUAUGGGUGAGAGCAGUGAGGGCUUUUGUAACUCCAUUUUUCAGCUUUAUAAAAGACGGAAAUAAGAGAUAAAGAAGGUAAGACUUUUGGCUCUUGUAUAAAAGGGAUCCCUCAGGGCAGUCCGUUGUCUCCCGUCUUAAUGAACAUCUUUCUUCACCAACUUGAUGUGAAGAUGCAAGACUUUAUGAGUAAAGAAGCGAGAAUUAGGUAUGUGCGCUACGCUGACGAUAUAGCUUUUGCUAUUAAGGAAGGAGCCAACUCAGAAAUGGUAAGCCAAAGGUUCAAGCAAUUCUUUAAUGAGGCCUUGACUAAGCUCAAACUGGAAGCAACUAGUUUGGAGCUCGUUCGAGGAAUAAGCAAGCCAUGCUCUACCUUAGUUCUCGGAGUCCUAAUAUCAAUUCGUCCGGACAGAAACUUGGAGUUAAGGGCACCCAUUAAUAGGUUCAAAAAAAAAUCUUUCAAUCAAUCGACAACGACAUAAGGAAGAUACAAGGCAAACGCGUAAAACACUUUGAGAGAGCGCUCCUUCCCCGAGUAUUCCAGUAUCUCGCUCUCUAUUCGUGUUGUUGCAAUGCUAACGAGAUACUAGCUUUUCUACAGAAUUCGUACAUUCAAAAGUACAAGUUGUAUCUUCAACUACAUAAGAAGAAAAAGCCCAAGGGGAAAGGCGAAACCGAAAACCUCCUCAACUUAAGAAGUAUCAAUACGCGCUUAAAGCAUUUCCAACUAUAAUUGCGUAAGAGAAAGGAAUUCAUUGACUUCGAACAACAAAAAGGAGGUCAAUGAGCACUAACUCUCUUCUCUGACUUUUUUUUUGGAAAGGAAUGCUGCUAUAAAAAACGGAGGCGGAAUUACAGUUCAGUUCAAGUAUAAUGCAGGAUAGCUGCCGCUAACAAAAUUCACACAAUUUUCGUAUAGAAACAACAGCAGCAGUACGGCUUUUAGAGGGCCCUCUCCUCUCUUCUAUUACUUGUUGGAGUUCCCCUGUCUCCCAUCUUCUUUUCAAGUCCCACGCUUUCCCCGGUUAACAACGGCGGACCCUCUUUUUUUAAAUGAAAUAGAGUCCCAAAAAGGAAACAGAACAAUUUCAUAUCAAAGAGUUGAAUGGCAACCCGAAUGAGCCCACUUGAGCAAUUUUCCAUUCACCCAUUAAUUCUUAUGAAGAUUGGCAACUUUUAUUUCUCAUUCACAAAUCCAUCCUUGUCUAUGCUGCUCACUCUCGGUUUGGUCCUCAUUCCGAUUUUUGUUUUCGNNNNNNNNNNNNNNNNNNNNNNNNNNNNNNNNNNNNNNNNNNNNNNNNNNNNNNNNNNNNNNNNNNNNNNNNNNNNNNNNNNNNNNNNNNNNNNNNNNNNNNNNNNNNNNNNNNNNNNNNNNNNNNNNNNNNNNNNNNNNNNNNNNNNNNNNNNNNNNNNNNNNNNNNNNNNNNNNNNNNNNNNNNNNNNNNNNNNNNNNNNNNNNNNNNNNNNNNNNNNNNNNNNNNNNNNNNNNNNNNNNNNNNNNNNNNNNNNNNNNNNNNNNNNNNNNNNNNNNNNNNNNNNNNNNNNNNNNNNNNNNNNNNNNNNNNNNNNNNNNNNNNNNNNNNNNNNNNNNNNNNCAUUUUUUUGUUGUUUUUGCUUAGGGAUGUCAAACCGUUAGCGGCGUUCAGAACCAGCCGUCGAAUCUUUGAUCUUCUCAAAGAUCACAAGGUGCUGAAGUGGCUGGAGGGGGAGGGGGGGGUCCUAGGUUUUUGUGAAAGGGAUGCUCUUAUCAUGCAUCUUAUUGCUGAUAUGAUAAGAAAAACCUAAUUCCUCUAUUUUAUUUGAUGUCGAUUCAUCCACACUUCCAUUCCUUGUAGAGGAAAGCUAAAUGCUUGCUGGCUGGGAGCUGUAUGAGCGGUAACGUCCACGUACGGCUCCGUGAGAAGGUGGGCGGAAAUAGCCGCCCUCCUUGUUGUACCUCACUCCCGUCUUCAAUGGGGUCUGCUCUUUUUUUUUUGGGAGAGUAUGCCAAUAUGAUCUUAAUGAGGUGCGGGGCUUUGCAUCUGACAUUCGUUGGGCUUCCCUCUGCGGGAGCCAGCGUCCCGGCGUUUUUGUGCAAUAAACUCCUCCGGCCGAAGACUAGUGAUAGGUGGUCCCGCGGAGCUUUCGGAGAAGGGUAGCCUAGUGUGUAAGCACAGCAAUGAACCGCGGCGAACCCUCAGACGACCCAUCUAAGAUUAGGGGGGAGAUCCUUAGUAGUGGUGACCCUUUGACUCUUCCACGGACUUAUACAUGUACCGAAUGCUCAUACGGGAAAGUGAACUCCUGGGUCUGGAACCAGGGGGGUUGCUCCGAGAAAUCCUUUCUUUCUCGUCCACUCCAGGGGGUGCGGACACACCUGCGCGGAUUACAGGUGACGGUUACAAGAAUGGCGGGGAAGUGAAGAGUACCCGACGGCAUUCAGGGAUGAAUGUAGACCCAUCGGGCAGGGAUAAUCAUUCCGGUCCUGGGAGAGGUGGCGACACCAGUCUGAGCUGAGGGAAGCCCUAUGAGUCACUGAAACGACCGCAGGAGGCGCACCCUAAGCCCAGCUUCUCGGAGCUGCUAUUGCGAAAUACCGCUUACCCUUAAUACUAUAAGCAACAGGGGGGCUGGGCUGCUCGCCUUCAUAGAAAGGCGACCGGGCCUAGAUUAGAUGUUCGCCUUUUUUUAGAAUAGAAGGAGAAGGUAAAGGAAGGGGGGUUUGGAGAUUCUUGAAAGAAUGCAUGGCUUCUUCCUAUUCCGCUUCAACACAGAAGAAGAUUGUUACAAGGUGCUGGAAGGAGGGCCGUGGCUUAUAGAAGGAAGAGUGAUGAUUUUGAGAAAGUUGCAAAGGGGGAUGGAUGCGCGCAAAGACCUUUUGGAGAUGGUUCCUCUUUGGGGUAGUUUUACUCAGCUGGGACUUCACCUGUGGUCUCAAAGGAUGAUCAGUCGGAUAGCGAGUACCAUUGGGAAGCCGUUAUAUAUUUAUCAACCUACGACAAGUAAAUCAAGGCUCGCCUAUACGCGGGUUUGUAUUGAAGUGAAUCCUCACAACUAGUUGUGUGUGGAUUGAAUCGGGCAAUGGUGGCAUGGAAGAACAGGUGGUUGAGAAUGGGUGCCCAUGGUGUGCUCUAACUGCAAGGCAGUUGGUCAUAGGGUCGAAGCUUGCCCUGUUCAGGAGCUGAAAGUUACUACAAUGUGGGUGGAGAGACAGAAGGUGCUUGUGGUAAUUCCAAAGAGACUGGGGAAAAUGCUGAAGCUUGCCAUGACAAGGAAACUGAUCAAGAGAAUGAAGGGGGAGCAGCUGAGGAGGAAAAAAGAAAUCUGGGCGGGAAUUACAUAAAAAAAAAGUCACUGCAAAUAAGUUUGCAGUGCUCGGGGAUGACCAGGACGAGGGCCGAGAUAUAGAUUUUUUGAUUCCAAAUGCAGAUCAAGGUAGCAGCCAGGAGACUCCACCAAGUGUUCGACAGGUUGCUCCUGUGAGCAGUAACAAGAAAAAAGGAAAAAAGAUUGUGAGGUCUGUUGAGAAUAGCAGUCAAAAGUCUUUGGCUAAACUAGUGAUGGAAAAAUUCUUUAUGAAGAUAACUCCUACAAGACCAAUGUUACUGGAGCGGAAAUUUCUGAGGGGACGUCAAUGUCUCCUACUAUUGUAGCUGAUGGAAAUGCUGACGGAAAGGCUUCGGCUGAUAGGAUCUUUGUUGAAGAUUCAGGGGGACAUGAAGAUCUACCAACCGAGAUUGCUGUGCCUAAUGAAGAAUGGGAGAACCUCCUGCAGCAAGAUAAAAAGAGGAGUGGUGAGGAAAGCAAGAAGAAAGGUAAGACCUGAAGCAAAACUGAAAGCAUUCGGACAAGAGCCAUGAUGGAGUCCCUUGGUAGAAAGGGGAGUAAUUCUACCAACCUUCCGGAUUCUCAAUGAAGUGCGUUAUCUGGAAUGUCCGUGGAAUGAAUAAAAGAAGUAGACAUAGGGUAAUAAUAUCUCUUAUCAGAUCUCAGAAAGUGGACUUGGUGGGUUUUGUUGAAACAAAAGUCAAGGAAAACAAGUGUUGUAGGGUUGCUAAGAAAUUCUGGAAGGAUUGUAGCUAUCUUUUCAAUUAUAGUAGCAGCCCGAGAGGUAGAGUUUGGCUGCUUUGGGAUCCCCAUAUCUGGAAUGUAUCUAAAGUCCUGGAAUCCGAAGAGAUGUUAACUUGUUUUUUUAGCCAACAAUUGGGAUGGAUGUGAAUCUUUCUGUGGUGUAUGGAUCUAAUAGUGCAUCUGUCAGGAAGGAAUUGUGGAGGGAGCUCAUGAGAAUCAGUCAAGUUGUACAAGGCCCCUGGUUAGUGGCGGGUGAUUUCAACACUGUGAAAGAGGUAUAUAAAAAUUUGGUGGGAGAGACCUCUAUGUUCCUCAGCUUAAAUCAUUCAAUGAUUGUUUACAAUUCUGUCAUCUAUUUGACAUGAGGGCUACAGGACUUGGUCUUGGAGCAAGAAAAGUGUUGAGUCCAGGCGCAUUAUGGUACGACUGAGACUGAGUUGGAAAGGAGCAAGUGGUUGGAUUGGCCUGACUCUUCAAGACCAAAGAGACUCGGCUUCCUCUUCAUCAAGUCACGAAAUAAGACCCUUAGUUAGCUGCACCGAAACAAGAGUAGGGCCAAGCAAGGCCUAGGAUCCAUCUCUCUUCUAGUCUAGCUUCCGCUUACACUGAUGCUUCCACUCCCAUAUGGGCAAGAGCUCCUUCUCUUUUUGCCAAAGACUCGCCUUUCUUCUUUUGGGAUAUGAAGACUUAAGCAUUCGGACUGAGAUGAAUAGCCCAUCCUAUAGUGAGCUGCUGAAAGACGUGCAGUUAGCCAACGCGAGUCAUCAGUAUGCAGGGAAUAGGGUAGGUUAGCAUAUAUAAAGUGAGAUUGAAGCAAGAAGAUCUCUUCCUUCCCCUUCCUAUGCAAGCCUUCUUAGCUAAUGGAGACAGAACGGAGUCAUUGGCUUUCCCUAUAGAGCGAUAGACAGAACCAAGGCGAAUCUCUCUGUUAGGCAUGAUGACAGUCUACGUCAUGUUGACUUUUGCUGGAAAGCAUCCACUCGGCCUGAUUCCCCAGUCUAGACCGCUACCACUGAUGGCAGACUAAUCCCUCAAUAUGAAAACAAUCAAGAAGCGAGGACAGAGUCUUUGAUCUCUGUUUUCGAACCCGAGACCUUUUGCUCAACCGUGAAAGGAGAGUUUGACCAUUCCCAAGAGAAAUACCAAUCUAUCAUCCCAUUUUUUCAAGACAUAGUCUGGUUCACCAAAGAGCCUUAUCCUAAGUCACUGCCUCGUCAACCUGACUUCCAUCUCCUGACAUCGGUACUUGUUUUCUGGUCCAGGAAAAGCAGACAGGGUAGUUCAACCAGAGCUUUCAGGCAAGCAAGUACGGUCAACAAUGAUCUCGGUGAGAAUAGUCAGAGCAUUGGGGUAAGCAGCAGUGAGUAGCUAUCGCAGUCAACUAGCAUAGGCGAAAGACAAAGAAGUUGGAAGUGGAUCAGUAGUUUGGUAGCCCGAACAGUUGGGAAGGCAUCCACUAUCAACGAGGAGAAGAGGUCUCAUGUCACUGCUCACUCUUGAAUUGGUUCACUGGUUCCUUGAAAGAAGUGAACUAGUUUGCCUUCGACGGACCCAAAACAUGUCAAAGACCACACUUGCCAAUAGAUUCUGUCGGAGCAAAACGAAGAGGUCGAACGAGAUGAGCUGACCGAGCAGCCAAAACCAUCCAACGGGUUCCGGAAUCGGAGCUGUAGUAGGAGCUUGAGUAGAAGGAGUCAAAGGAGCAGGUCUUGCUUUAUAGAGUAGGGGCCUUAAUUUCUUCCCAUAUAUGAGAUAUUCCCGUACCAGUGGUCUUGCCUUUGCGUCUUUCCCGUACCCCUUUGAUGAAUUUUCUUUUUUUUUGGAGGUACCAGUUUCCAUUUCAAUGCUCGCCUAUUCCGCGUCAUCUUUGUCGAUUGCAGUUUUUUUUGGUUUCGUAUGCCGGUUGUGCCUAGCUGACAGGCAGGUAUGAGACGAAAGUAGAGGUACGGGACGGGGAAUCAAGGUAUAGGUGCGGGUGAAAGUCAAAUACGAACGAAUGGGCUUUCAAGUAUGAAAGUCGAGGGGCAAGAGUCGCUCGGUCAUCGGUGAAGAAAGCGAUGGGCGGUCAAGUCGAAGGUCCAGAGUCAACUCACGUGGCAAGCUCCUUCCUAAUAAGGUUACUACAUCAGCACCAGCAGCUGACUGGCCUUUGCCUGACAGACAAGAGGAGAUGCCGCUUCCUUUUUAGCCUAUUAGGCUAUUUAUGAAAAGCUUGCUUGCUUGUCUUCCCACCUGUUGACUAUAUAUUGCCUUCUGCCGAUGGCAACUUCAGUAGAUUGUUACACUCGUGCUUGGGAAAAGACCGACCUAUGAAAAUUUCCAUCUUUCCUUGAGGAAGCGAAGACCCCAACUAGGCUUGUUGAUGAUACUUUUUAUGGUCAAAAAUACCUUUAUAGCAAACUCUAUAUAAAGGAAAGCAAACCAUAUAUAGCUUAUUCAAAGAAUAGUAAACCAUUACUUAUGUUAUCACCCAACACUUGCUCGGACCACUUUCCUCUGCUCAUCUCCAUUGAAGAGAGUUUUCCUAGACAUCCCAGCCCUUUCCUUCUGGCAAUGUGGACUUUGCAUGACAGCUUUAUGGAUGUGGUGAAAGAAUCCUUGAGUGAAUCUUGUCUUAUCCUCUUUCAUUUCAUCUUUUUCAAAAGAAAUGAAAGGCAUUCUCCGGCCAUGGAAUAGGGAGGUUUUUGGUGACUUGUUUCAGAACAUCAGGCGAGCUGAGGAUGAGGUUCUGAAAUCUCAAGUUGGGCUAGAACUAUCUUGGACUUCUGACAAAAAGACUGCCCUUGACUUAGCAAAUCAGAACCUAGAUAAAGCUUUUCUUCAAGAAUCAAUCUUCGCAGAAAUUCUCGUGUUAAGUGGCUAAAAGAGGGCUUUCAAAUAAACCAUUUUUCCAUGCUUCCACUAAAGAACGAAAGAGGAAAAAUACUCUUCGUGGGAUCUUCAACUCCCAAGGGUCUUGGAUCGAGAACCCUGUGGACAUGGGGAAGGAAGCUGAAAAUUUCUUUAAACACUUGCUCUCCACUGAAGGUUCAAUCUUUUUUGAAAGUAUCCUCAAUGUCAUCCCCAACUUAGUCACUGCUUCGGACAAGACUAUGCUUAACCGAAUUCCAUCUUUGGAGGAAAGAAAAGAAAGAGUCUUCCAGAUGUCCCCUGACAGUACGCCUGGACCUGACGGGUACGAAGGUAGCUUUUAUCAGUCGUGUUGGGAGAUUAUUCAGGAGGACCUCGUCCCUGCUGUGCAGUUCUUUUUCCGUGAAGGUUCGGUUCCGAAAUCGAUUAAUGAAACCUGGAUUGCUUUUAUUCCCAAAGUUUUUCACCCUACCUCCUUUCAUCAUUUUCGUCCUAUUAGUCUUUGUUAUUUCUUAUAUAAGAUAAGAUCCUGACGAAAAUGAUUGCUAAUCGCCUGGCUUUGCUUCUGCCUAAAUUUAUAUCUGAGGAACAAGGCGCCUUUCUUCAAGGAAGGCAAAUUCUGGACGGAGUCCUAAUAGCAAACGAGUGCAUUGACUCAAGAAUUAGAAAGGCGGGGGGAGGGGCUGGGAAGGAAGGGGGGACCUUUCUUUUUGCUUCGCGCCAGAUGAGAUGAUGAUUAGUGGGUCAGGUCCAGUUGCUCUUUAUCACAAUCACUAAAGGGGCGGGCUGGCUGGGCUGCCUUUUCAAUCAAUCUCCGGCCGCUCAGUGCCGCUAUUGGUGCAAGUUGUAAGGAGUCUUGGUCUCGAGUCGAGCUGGGGCGUCAUUUCAUUCUCGUAACGGGAGUGAGUGCACCGCAAGACCAGACAAGUUGCUCCCUCGUCUCGCAGCGGCGGCAUCUGUCUUUUAAGUUAAGUCAUUUCCUAAGACGGCUCCUCUUAUUCUACGAUAAUCCAAGCUGCAGCUCCACGAGUCUGCUCGGAACCAGUCGAUUCCUGAGCCAUUCUCCCCUCUCGGUUGGCCUUUGCCAGCCACUAGAGCAAGUAAGAGAACCUACAGUGAAUGAACUUAAAGAACCGCAGAUUUUUACCGGAUUGUACACCUUUGUGUCUGGCUAUGUAUAUGGAUGUGCAUAAAAUAAAGAAGGGACGGGACAUCUCUUUCCUUUUUUUGGGGGGGAAGAGAGAGGGAAGAAGCUGCAGCGGCACCUCACGAACUUCUUACUGGGGCAGCACCAUCCUAUAGGCAUUUUUGCGAGUGUUUGGAUGCACGUGUUUUGUUCAUAUUCCUGCGCAGUUAAGAGAGAAAUUGUCCCCAAGGCAACCACUUGUGUCUUUCUUGGAUAUGCCCAGUCCGGGUAUAGAUGCUAUGACGUGAAAUCCAAGAGACUCGAUGUAUCCUUGAAUGUUCUCUUUAAUGAGGUCGCCUCAUAUUUUCCUUAACCUAAUUAAUCAGCCCCGGGGGAGAAUGGUGAUGGAGAUGUAUUGCGGCCUUCUCCUGUUCAUCAACUCGAACCUCAUUCUUCUGCAGUUGAUGUUACGGAUCAGCCUCACUCUUCAGGCCAGCAGCUUUGCCCAGCAUCUUCUGCCGAUUGUCAGCCUGUUCAGCUGACCCCAGAGGAUUCCAGCACAGCAUGUUUAUUCUCGGCGGCGAUCACCGUCGCCAAGAAUGGCAUAGUCGCAAAGCUUCGUCGUGCCAUACACCCUCUCAGCAGCUAUCCACACAAGCAUAUGAUGUGUAAGUGUGAAUAGAGGCCAAGAACUCAAAAAUCCGAGGGGUUGACCCUUCGUAAACGUCACAACCGAUGACCUAUAGCCUUGAUUAUCUAAACUAUAUGGUAAUUGAAAGACUACAGAACAAAGUAUGAACGUCCAGGAAGUUGCAAAGGGAUUUCCGAACAACCCUGCAAUCAUACAGGACGUCAGGAUAACAGGUAAGGAAUCGGUAGCAGCCUUGAGAUCAAAAGAGAAUCAUUUUCUCUUUCCUCUAAAGUACUGCAACGGUUGGGUCUGGUUAUAGGUACCAUCCAUUCAAGACCUUGCCAAAACCGUCAUGGCCCAAUCAUGUAUAGGCCGUACCAAGGCCUGAUACAAGGGUGAGCCAAUAGCGAAUAACCUUUUCUUCCCUGCUCCCUCGACCUUCAUUCCCAUCCUGCCAAGCUGAGGCUGCCAGCGCAUUGUAUCUAACCACACUGUGGCAAAUCGAUACAAGUAGCUAAACAGCUUGCUAUACCAUACAAAGGCAUCUCCGGCCGAACGGUUAGGCAACACUACGGCGCCUGGGUAAACAUCCCGUUUACCAAACAAGACGUCGAGAGUGUCACUUAACCAUUCCCCUCCAGCAGCCAAAGUGAUAGCGGCUGUAGCAUCCACCGGUAAUGUGUGGAAGAGGGUAAGCUUUCUAUGUGGAUAGGACGUAUCAACACCUUUUGCAUCUUUUAAAGGAAAUAUCUAAGAAUAAUAUUGUGUUGGGUCCUGAGGACCAGGAUGGCCUCAGAUCAAAACCUAAAUGUGCCAGGGGUUGAUCAUCGAAGCCAGGGCAAUAACGAUGAAGGAAUUUGAGCGCUGAUGUAGCUAACAGCCACCUUCAUAGUCGAUUCAUUAGGGUCGUCACCUUCUACCCAAUGGAAGUAUCCACCGUUUUCUUUGUCUGUUAAGCCUCACAGCGUUGGGACUUCCUAAAGAACAAUCGCAGUUUAUCAACCACUCACAAGACCACCGAGAUCUUCGACUUAGCUCCCAAAGGUCAUCCACCCGGCCCUUCCCCAACCUAUACAAGGGGAGCGGAAGAUAAC